rnacentral:lncRNA from 1 species
GUGCUUAUCGAUUUUUCAUCUCUCUCGGCUCUAUGUGCCUUCCAUUUCUAUUUUUCUUUAGUAUAUCAAUUAGUAUAUUCUAAAACUCUGCCUUGUUUUAAGUAUUGUAACUUCCAAUCACCGCUACCCUUUCCGAUUGAUCUGAGUCCCAUAACGCAUGUCAAGGCUCUACCCGACUAAGUUCGUUUGGAUUCUAUCUCGGGACUUCGGGACAAGGUUGAUUUAAGGGUACUAUACUUAACACAAGUGCAAAAUAUAUUUUUAAUAGCCCAAAAGUUAUACCCAAAAUUUAUACCAGGAGUCCUUCUAGUUGAACCCUAAAGUUACACAGUGGGUCCAUUUCUUUUUUUUUUUUCACCAUUUUAUUCUCUUUUUGUGAUUUACCCAAAACUAUUAUUAUUUUAUUUUAUCAAAAGUCAUAUCUAUUAUUUUACCCUAUAGGAAACCCUAAUUGAGACACCCAAGUAAUCCUGCACAACUCCUAAAAUUUUCGUAGCAAUCAGAAUCAGGAUCAGGGCCCCUAAAACUCAAGGGGGUAUUCCCUACUUGACGGUUAUCCAUAUAACUCACUGUAGAAAUUAAAAUUAUUGUUUCCGUCGACUCAGCAAGCCUACCCCUAAACGUGUCCACCCUAGGCUAGAAAAUAGACCCGUCGCGCCACGCGACGGGUGCACAUGUUCCUGUCGCGACACGUGAGGGGGACGAUUUUCCAGCUAUAAAUAGUAGGCUGUGGGACUUGAUUUCUGGAGUUGGAACGACGGAAAAUUUCGUCUUACACUCCGAGUUAUAGCCGUUUUACUAUAAAACACCCACAAUCACGAAUUCUGCUACGAUACAGGGUAAUUACUCGAUCGCUAUUACGAUUCAUUUUCCGGGAUCAAUAUAUCCAAAGAAUGUCUAAGUGCCGCCCAUAUUGGGUUAUGCUUUGUCGUUUGUCGAUAAUUCGAUAAAUGAGUUGAAGCAUUAUACUUUGUCGUUUGUCGAUAAUUCGAUAAAUGAGUUGAAGUAUUAUACUUUGUCGUUUGUCGUUAAUACGAUAAAUGAGUUGAAGUAUUGCACUUUGUCAUUCAUUGUGAGAAUUUGAUCUCGUGAGUUAUCGUAAAAGCUGUAUUGAUCAUUAACCCGGUUUUGUGUGCAUCCUUUCCUAAAUUAGGAUUAUUAGUCUCAAUACACUUACAAUCAAAGUAGAUGCUAAUUCUCAGAAGAAUCUGAACCAUGAAGCUUGUUAAUUCAAAUACUGCAUGCUGAUUUGUAAUUACAGUAGAUUGGAGUAAGGAUUGGAUCCGGCACUAAAAGACUUCAAGAAGUGGCUUAUUUUAUUAAUUAAAUCAAAUUAAGAAAUAUUGUUUUAUUAAAAGCUACCUUUGUAAAACUUGGAAUUUAUUCCAUCCAUUUAAAUAAAAUCCGGUGUUUCUAAACUCUGAUAUUUUUCCUAACUCACGGUCCUGAUGAAAUUUCCACUGCAAUGUUUUUCAAAAUAAUCACCGGUACCACUGGACUGCUCGCGACUUCCGAUUCCGGCUAGAUGGGGUCGGGGGUCGUGACAGUAAAACUGUAAUUUACUCUUAUUAUUUAUAAGUAUAGUUUUUGU